CGCCAGACUCCUACGGGAGGCAGCAGUGGGGAAUAUUGCACAAUGGGGGAAACCCUGAUGCAGCGACGCCGCGUGAGUGAAGAAGUAUUUCGGUAUGUAAAGCUCUAUCAGCAGGGAAGAAAAUGACGGUACCUGACUAAGAAGCCCCGGCUAACUACGUGCCAGCAGCCGCGGUAAUACGUAGGGGGCAAGCGUUAUCCGGAUUUACUGGGUGUAAAGGGAGCGUAGACGGCAUGGCAAGUCAGAUGUGAAAGCCCGGGGCUCAACCCCGGGACUGCAUUUGAAACUGUCAGGCUGGAGUGCAGGAGAGGUAAGUGGAAUUCCUAGUGUAGCGGUGAAAUGCGUAGAUAUUAGGAGGAACACCAGUGGCGAAGGCGGCUUACUGGACUGUAACUGACGUUGAGGCUCGAAAGCGUGGGGAGCAAACAGGAUUAGAUACCCCGGUA
rnacentral:rRNA from 1 species